rnacentral:rRNA from 1 species
UACGAACUGUGCAAACGUUAUUCGGAAUCACUGGGCGUAAAGCGUGCGUAGGCUGUUUCGCAAGUUGGAAGUGAAAGCCCAGGGCUCAACCCUGGAAUUGCUUUCAAAACUGCGAGACUCGAGUCCGGGAGAGGAUAGCGGAAUUUCCAGUGUAGUAGUGAAAUACGUAGAUAUUGGAAGGAACACCAGUGGCGCAAGCGGCUAUCUGGACCGGUACUGACGCUGAGGCACGAAAGCGUGGGGAUCAAACAGG